AUAUCAAGGGGUGCCUGCAUGUUGCAGGCUGAGAUGAUACCCUCUAAACCUGAUUCGGACAAUACCGACGUAGGGAUGAUAGAG
rnacentral:ncRNA from 1 species